rnacentral:rRNA from 1 species
UACGUAGGGCGCAAGCGUUAUCCGGAAUUAUUGGGCGUAAAGAGCUCGUAGGCGGUUUGUCGCGUCUGCCGUGAAAGUCCGGGGCUCCAACUCCGGAUCUGCGGUGGGUACGGGCAGACUAGAGUGAUGUAGGGGAGACUGGAAUUCCAGGUGUAGCGGUAGAAAUGCGUAGAUAUCUGGAGGAACACCGGUGGCGAAGGCGGCAUCCUGGACCGGUAUUGACGCUGAGGCGCGAAAGCCAGGGGAGCAA